rnacentral:rRNA from 1 species
AACGAGCGCUGGCGGCAUGCCUAACACAUGCAAGUCGAACGAGAUCUUCGGGUCUAGUGGCGCACGGGUGCGUAACGCGUGGGAAUCUGCCCUUUGGUUCGGAAUAACAGUUGGAAACGACUGCUAAUACCGGAUGAUGACGAAAGUCCAAAGAUUUAUCGCCAGAGGAUGGGCCCGCGUAGGAUUAGCUAGUUGGUGUGGUAAAGGAGCACCAAGGCGACGAGCCUUAGCUGGUCUGAGAGGAUGAUCAGCCACACUGGGACUGAGACCCGGCCCAGAGUCCUACGGGAGGCAGCAGUGGGGAAUAUUGGACAAUGGGGGCAACCCUGAUCCGUCCAUGCCGCGUGAGUGAAGAAGGCCUUCGGGUUGUAAAGCUCUUUCGACUGGUACGAUGAUGACGGUACCCGUAUAAGAAGCCCCGGCUAACUUCGUGCCAGCCGCCGCAGUAA